rnacentral:rRNA from 1 species
CCUACGGGUGGCAGCCGUCGAGAAUCAUUCACAAUGGGGGAAACUCUGAUGGUGCGACGCAGCGUGGGGGAAUGAAGGUCUUCGGAUUGUACACCUCUGUCAUGUGGGAACAAAUCAAAAAGAUAGUACCACAAGAGGAAGAGACGGCUAACUCUGUGCCAGCAGCAGCGGUAAUACAGCGGACUCAAGCGUUGUUCGGCAUCACUGGGCGUAAAGCGUGCGUAGGCUGUUUCGUAAGUCGUGUGUGAAAGGUGCGGGCUCAAACCGCGGACGGCACAUGAUACUGGGAGACUAGAGUAUUGGUGGGGGAGCCGGAAUUCUCGGUGUAGCAGUGAAAUGCGUAGAUAUCGAGAAGAACACUCAUGGCGAAGGCAGGUUCCUGGACAUUAACUGACGCUGAGGCACGAAGGCGAGGGGAGCGAAAGGGAUUAGAUACCCUAGUAGUC